rnacentral:rRNA from 1 species
AGUCGAGCGGUAACAGAGAGUAGCUUGCUACUUUGCUGACGAGCGGCGGACGGGUGAGUAAUGCUUGGGAACAUGCCUUGAGGUGGGGGACAACAGUUGGAAACGACUGCUAAUACCGCAUAAUGUCUACGGACCAAAGGGGGCUUCGGCUCUCGCCUUUAGAUUGGCCCAAGUGGGAUUAGCUAGUUGGUGAGGUAAUGGCUCACCAAGGCGACGAUCCCUAGCUGGUUUGAGAGGAUGAUCAGCCACACUGGGACUGAGACACGGCCCAGACUCCUACGGGAGGCAGCAGUGGGGAAUAUUGCACAAUGGGCGCAAGCCUGAUGCAGCCAUGCCGCGUGUGUGAAGAAGGCCUUCGGGUUGUAAAGCACUUUCAGUCAGGAGGAAAGCNUGGUGGUUAAUACCCGUUAUGUGUGACGUUACUGACAGAAGAAGCACCGGCUAACUCCGUGCCAGCAGCCGCGGUAAUACGGAGGGUGCGAGCGUUAAUCGGAAUUACUGGGCGUAAAGCGUACGCAGGCGGUUUGUUAAGCGAGAUGUGAAAGCCCCGGGCUCAACCUGGGAACUGCAUUUCGAACUGGCAAACUAGAGUGUGAUAGAGGGUGGUAGAAUUUCAGGUGUAGCGGUGAAAUGCGUAGAGAUCUGAAGGAAUACCGAUGGCGAAGGCAGCCACCUGGGUCAACACUGACGCUCAUGUACGAAAGCGUGGGGAGCAAACGGGAUUAGAUACCCCGGUAGUCCACGCCGUAAACGAUGUCUACUAGAAGCUCGGAGCCUCG